CAGAGUUGCAAAACUCCCAACCAUUGUGAACCUACCUCACCGUUGCUUCGGCGGGUGGCCCCCUAAACCCAGGCCGCGCCUGCCCCUCUCUCGGGGGGCCGGCAACCCGUCAGAAGACCGAAACUCUUUAUUAUAAUUGGCCUCUCUGAGUAACUUAUACAAUAAGUCA
rnacentral:misc_RNA from 1 species